rnacentral:rRNA from 1 species
UACAGAGGUCUCGAGCGUUAGGCGGAAUCACUGGGCUUAAAGCGUGUGUAGGUGGAUCGGUAAGUACCUUGUGAAAUCCCACAGCUUAACUGUGGAACUGCUUGGUAUACUGCCAGUCUUGAGCCAGCUAGGGGCUACCGGAACAAAUGGUGGAGCGGUGAAAUGCGUAGAUAUCAUUUGGAACGCCAAUGGUGAAAACAGGUAGCUGGGGCUGUGUUGACACUGAGACACGAAAGCCAGGGGAGCAAACGGG